UAACAUCUAUAAAAAAGUAUUUAAUUUCAAUUCUGAUAGCGUUUCAUUUUGAAAUUGGUGGGAAAAUAUGAGAGAAAAAAAUGGUAAGAAAUCAUCAUAUUAAAGGCAAAUAAACAUGGGUAUUGUUUACCACUUGAUGUUUUUGAAGUACUGAAAGAAAUAGAAUUUAUUCAGGAAAAUGAAACUUUCGUCGUCUCGGUGUGUUCAUUCCUAAUUCUGCAAUGACGAAAGCCAGCUAUUCCGUUUGCUGUAGCCUGUAAAGCAUCAUAUUUUAUAUUACAAAUUUAUGAAUAUUGAGCCCCUAAUGGGAUGUAGGAUCAUUUUUUUUCUACAGUUAAGAAUUUGUUUCAUACUCUGUGAGGUUGAAGAAAACAUAGUCUAAUGAUAAAUCAGAACAAGAGGAAUAACAAUCAAUUUAGGAAGUUAGUUUUAAUGUAUAAUUUUGGACUCGAAUUAGACGAGAAGUAAAAGUAGAAGAUGUGUUAAAAACUUUAUUUCAGUGCUGAUCAUAUGUUAAAACAAAUAAAACAUAACCGUCUGUCUGGUACAGUGCCGUCCUACUGAAUUAACAUGCAUUUAUUCUUUUUUAAGAUUAAAUUAUCUCGAGCGCACGACAUCUUAUCUCGAGCGCACAACAUCUUAUCUCGUGCGCACGACAUCUUAUCUCCAGCGAACGUCAUCCUAUCUUGAGCGCACGACAUAUUAUCUCGAGCGUACUACAUCUUAUCUGGUGCGAAAGAUAUAUUUUCUCGAGCACAUGACAUCUUAUCUCGUACACUCGACAACUUAUAUUGAGCGCACGAACUCUUAUCUCGUGCGCACGACAUCUUAUCUUGAGCACAACAUCUUAUCUAUAUAUAUUAGGGUCCUGUGUGUGUAUUUAGGUCAUCAGUAAAAACAUACGGAAAAGUAGGUGAUUAAGGUCCCGCGUAUUCAACCUUCCCACAAGUACGGUACAAGGUUAUCACAUCAUUUUAGAGAGUAGUGCACAUAAUUAGUGAUCCUAUCUUCAAAUUAAACGAAUAUAAUUAAUGAUACUUACUGCAUGUUAGAAUAGCAACAAAUCGCAGUUCGACUGAUAGCAUCAAUUCGCAUAUUGCCAGAAAAGUUAUAGAAUUGCAUGCAUGAAUUAAGGGGAAACGGAGAAAUUUUUUUGAUAGACGAACGAAGCCUACGUACUUUAUUUUGCCAAGGACUUAAAUUUAUUCUUUUGCGUCAUCACUGAAUUUUUGCUGCCUUUUUUAUCAGUUUGUGUAUUUAAAUUACUACCCUGCAAACCCGUGAAACGGUUAUAAGUUUAAACGAAACAAAAGCAAAACCGGUGGCAGUCGUAUGUUUUUACUGAUGAUCUGAAUACAAACAAAGGGCCUUAAUAAAAAUAAAAAUAUAAGUAAUGAGUUUAGCAACUGAACAGUCAUAUAAUAUCUACAGAUGCAUUCUAAUUCACGGCAUUGUUACCAUUUAUUUAAAAAAAAAUCUUUAUAGUGUGUUCAUUCAUUAGUAGACACUUGCUUUUGUGCAGGCAUUUACUCGAAAAGAAGUUCCGCGCUAACAAGCAUACGUUUACAGUAUUCACUUGCGUAUUGAUUCCUAAUGUUAUGCCGUGUCGAUUCGCUUGUAAAAUUCAACUCGCUCAAUAUCAUAUCUCAACCCGUCUUUUAUCAUUUCAUGCAUGAAUACAGAACACUGUUUUUUGUGAAUCAAUAUUAUUAAAUUCUCGUCACAAACAAUGGUUUUGUAGGACUGCAUUACAUAUGCAGGUUAGGAUUUAUGUUUAUAUUGUUAAUGGAUGUGUAUUCUCAGUGUUUAUGAGAACCAAUUCUAGAGCCAGAAAUGACUGAAAGACCAGAUGGAGGAUGGGGAUGGGUUAUUGCUAUAGCAACGUUUUUGACCAAUGUUAUCGUGGACGGAGUGAAAUAUUCGUUUGGAAUAAUGUUUGUAGAACUAGUGGAAACGUUUCAGAAGAGUAAAAGCGAAACAUCAUGGCUUAUGUCUAUCCAAGUUGGAAUAAUGCUGCUAUCAGGUCCAGUCGUAGCUGCUUUAGUAAACCGAUUUGGAUGUAAAACGAUCGCAUUGACAGGGACUUUGAUAAGUUUUACCGGAUUUUUAGCAAGUACAUUUGUCCACUCCUUGUAUAUAAUGUACCUAACAUUUGGGUUACUUGCAGGGCUUGGUUUUGGAAUGAUGGUGAUGCCAGCUGUUGUGAUGUUAGCACGCUAUUUUGAUAAGAGACUGGCUUUUGCCUCCGGGAUUGCAGCUAUGGGAUCUGGGUUUGGGACGCUUGUUUUUAACCCACUCAGUAAAGUCCUAAUUGAUAAGUAUACCUGGCGUGGAACUCUUCUUAUUGAAGCCGGCAUUGUAUUAAAUGGGUUAGUGUGUGCGCUCGUUAUGAAAUCACCAAAGAAAAUAUCAGAAAAUAUGUACGUAAAUGAAGAGACUAUUAGAGAAGAUGACAAAGAAACUAAAUCGGUUCCUGCGGUUGACCAGUAUCAUGGUGCACCAAAUAACCAUUCGGUAGAUGCACAAGAAUUGCUGGAUGUAAACAUUAGAUCUAAAGUUGAAAACGUAGAAACAAAUACAUAUUCACAUAUUGUUCAUAAGCCAAUAAAGUCCUGUAAGGACACAGAGGACCAUAUCAGAUAUAUUGAGAGUCCACAUGGAAACACAAUGAAUUUAAAAGAAGAUACAGAUCAAGGCGAAGUAAAAGAAACAUACGAAACAGAUGUUGAUGUUACCUUUCCUUUAAUAACAACUACAAAUGAAAUUAUGAACAAAGUAAAUGACAGCCCAUUGAGUAUUUCAGAUACAUCAAAAUGUGAAAACAAAUGUUCAAAAGAAAAUGAUCUUACCACAAUGUGUGCAGACAAUGAUGGUAAAAUCUGUCAAGAAAGUUCAGUUGAAGUUUUCACGAGAACAGACACUACGAAAACGGUCAAAAUUCACAAUACAGAAGUGCCAUCUAUUGAAAUGAAAGAGGAAACCAAGUUUAUUAACUACACAAAUAAGACAGAAAACGUUGAUAAUGAAAAAUGUGAAACAGAUAACCGGCGAUGGUUUAGUUUAGCACCACUAAAGAAUACAGGAUUUCUUGUCUUCCUUCUAUCUGGAAUUCUUAUUGAGAUGUCAUUAAACACGCCAUUUAUAUUCUUGCCUGAUAUGAUGCUUCAUAAGGGAUUUGAAAAACAAGAUGCUGUUUGGAUGCUUUUUAUCAUAGGUUUGGUCAGUACUCUAAGCCGUAUUGUUAUUGGUUUCAUUGCUGAUCUACAAUUUGUGAAUCGUGUAAAGUUGUGUAACUCCAUCGUUGUUCUCAACGGAGUUUUUGUCGUCUUAUGCCCUUUCUGCUCCAACUACGCUUCUUUUGUAGCGUUUUCUGUUCUGUUUGGAUUUUCUGCAGGUUAAAGUGGAAUUAUGCGCAUUUUUCAAGUAAAGAUGCAGCUGAAACAGACGUGUGUGUAAGAAGGGUCGAGGAAAUUAUACCUUUUAACCCAAUAUACCAAACUCUUCCUGUUACCAGUACGAAAUAAUAACUUUCCAAAUAUGACUUUUCUUAUUUUGACUGGGGCAGUCUUUUUAAGAAAAGUCAAACUGCGCGCAGGAGUUGCUUCCCUUCAACUUCAGUAACCUCUACCUAUAGGUAGCUCCAGCUCACUGCGAUACGUUCUCAUACCAGAUUUAUUCGGCAUUGAUAUGAUUGCAGAUUUCUUUGGAAUUAACAUGUUCUUCAGCGCAUUUGCAGCUUUUAUUGGUUUACCAAAAGCAGGUG
rnacentral:misc_RNA from 1 species